GGCGGCCAUACCAUGCUGAAUAUACCGGCUCUCGUUAGAUCACCGAAGUCAAGCAUCAUUGGGCGCGGUCAGUACCUGGGUGGGUGACCACCUGGGAACACCGCGUGCC
rnacentral:rRNA from 1 species